ACUCCUACGGGAGGCAGCAGUGGGGAAUAUUGCACAAUGGGCGCAAGCCUGAUGCAGCCAUGCCGCGUGUAUGAAGAAGGCCUUCGGGUUGUAAAGUACUUUCAGCAGUGAGGAAGGCGGGUACGUUAAUAGCGUGCUCGUUUGACGUUUAGCUUGCAGAAGAAGANACCGGCUAACUCCGUGCCAGCAGCCGCGGUAAUACGGAGGGUGCGAGCGUUAAUCGGAAUUACUGGGCGUAAAGCGCAUGCAGGUGGUUUGUUAAGUCAGAUGUGAAAGCCCGGGGCUCAACCUCGGAAUAUGACAUUUGAACUGGCAGAACUAGAGUACUGGGUAG
rnacentral:rRNA from 1 species